AUUAUAACGUGUAUUUUUGUAGUUUAAUCUCUAUUUCUCUCUCUACACACAUACACAUAAUUAAAAAUUGAUAUGUAAUAUUAAUGGAUAAAAUGAAAAAAAGAAAUGGUCAAAUUAUAUUAGGGGUUCUCAAUGCAUAUCAUGAAGUGUGUAUAGAAGGGAAGGCUUUAUUGUGAUUUGUGGAUGUGAUUACUUCUCAUUACUUUAAGAUCUUCCUACUUAUAUCAUAACACAAUAGGAUCACAAUGUAAUCUUUAAAAGUCUUGUUUAGGGAGAAAUUAUUCUCCCAAUAAGUUUUUAGAUGAAUUCGCCAAAUCAUAUCAAUAAUGUGUUCUUUAGUAUAUUUGUCUUAUCGUUUUCAAACUGUUAGCUUCUCCAUGGCAGCUUCUCAAUUUCCAACCCACCAAAAUGAAGGGAGUAAUAACUUGAACAACAAUAUAAUUAUGGAACCAAAGACCAUGCACAUUUUGUCCUUUAAAAAAAAAAAAAAAAAAAUUAAGUAUGCAUAUACUGCGUUAUUUCUAAUAAACAAUACUCCAUAUUCACAAAUAGAAUUCUUAAUACCGUGAGUAUAUGUGCAACACGACCAAUUGUUAAGCUUGAUUGAAGGUUCCAUGACUAUUCUAUUCUCAUUUAUUUUUGCCAUACUAUAAUAUAAUACCUUAGUGUUUCUAAUUGUUGGAGCUCUCUUUUGGCAAACCUUCAUUGCUACUUGGUUAUUCUUUGCUAUUUUUUCCUGUUUGUCCCCUCUUCUUUUGGUUUGUUUCUUAUUAAUUUUUACUGUUUCGUUAAUUGCUUAUAGUUAUGAACGGAUAGGAAUAAGAAAUAUGAUAAGAAAAGGAAAAACAAGAUGAACACAUAGAUUUACAUGGAAACCAUUAACGGGAAAAACCACGGGCAGAGGAGGAGGAAUUCACUAUAAUGGAGAGAAAUACAAUGAGGAGAUGAUAGUCUCAAUGACGUAUAUAAACACGUCCAAAAACAACUCACUAAACGCACUUAUAUAAUACGUGCCUACAAAUAAAUUCUAAGCUCAACCGCUACCACCACAGGCCCCACAAAAAAUCAAAAACAUGAAUCGCAACCGAGCUUUUCAGGAUUGGAUCAAUAAAAUUCAGGUCACAAACACUUAUAUCUAAAAGAUAGAUUAUGACUUAUCAUGAGAAUGUAAAUUCCUCACGUGGCAUGCAUGUGCAUAGUGAUAAAAUGAUGAUGUGAUGACAACACUAUCAUUUUCCUGUGCGAAAAUUGUGUAUUUUUUGGACAACUAACACAUGGUUUACUCAUAGUGAAUUAACUAUUACAAAAAAAAAAAAAAAAAAAAAAAAUUGGCUUUAGUAUUCACUUGUAAAACUUCUGUAUGAACAGAAGAUACGUACAUUUUGUGGAGACAAUUGUUCUCAGUUUAAGGUUUCUCCUUGUUGGUUAAGAUUAGUGAGACCAUUGUGAAUAGAAUGAAGACAUAUAAUGACAUUAUGUACUACAUUCGUCAGGUGGUUAAAUCUUAUUUAAAAUUAAAAAACAAAGUAUAAACAACAUAAAUUCCAUCACUUAUAGUUAACUAAUCUCUAUUCCAACUCUUUUCAUUGUUAAAAAUUCCAAAAUGUUUGAAAUCUCGGAUACAUUGCAUUGGUCCCAAUACAUUUCGUUGCCCAAAAAUCUGAAAUUUUGUAUACACUGCAUUGGUCCAGAUACCUUGUGUUUUACUCAUACAUACUGUCUCGGAUAUGUUAAUUAAAUUUCUUCGGAUAUAUACUAUCUUCAUGUCACGACCCGAGCCGGGGCCCUAGCCGUGACGGGCAUCCCGAACCGUGGAGGCUCAAACGCCCUUCUCUAUCUGGCAAUCAUACACACGUUCAUAUAAUAUGAAGGAAAAUGCGAAAAUAUAAAACAAUACGGAAUCAUGAUCACUAUCAUAAUUUAAUUGAACAAUCUGUAAUGGAAACCAUAAACCUCGAAACAACUUCUAAACAUCAGUCUGCGAAAUCUCUAACAACUGAAAAUGACAUUUGUUUGAAAUCUGGGACAAGGCCCCCAGUCGGGCCAUGAAUCAAAAUUGAACAACAAUACCAAGCUCUAAUACCGGCCUUCCGAAGUAAGGGAGGCUCACCAGCUGCAAACUUCUGACACACACGAAUCUACAACUGUAUGGGACUACGGGACUCUGCCUCGGAUCCUGAGAGGGAGGGGGUCAAUACAGAUGUACUGGUACGCAGAGCAAUCCAAAAUAAUGAAUUUAUACAUAUAUAACAUAGGUGAGAGCAAGUCUUAAAACAUUAUGCGUGAAAUAGUUUAAAAUACAUGGGCCAUUUCAAAAGAUCUCAAAACAAUCUUGUCAAUGCAAUGUAAUUCUUUGUAUACUUCUGAGCUAGGUGGUACACCCUACAUAUUUGAAAGUUUCCCACGAGCAAUAUGGGAUUCGUCAUUAACUCGACGGCCAAGCCCCCAACCCAAAUUUGCCGCAAGGGUUGAAGUAUCUGAAUCUGAUACGCCCCAGGGCUCUAGGACAGCGUAUAAUAAUAUACCCGUAUCGGCAAAAUAUGAUUUCGGGCAAUAAAUCAUAUGACUCGUGCCUUCUUCGGAUAACCACCUAACUCUCUUAGUGCCAAGUUUUAACCCAUUCUAAACAUGCAUCUUUCUGAAUUCAAAAUAUAAAAUCUAAAAUGAAAUUUGUAUUCCGUUCUGAGUUUUAUCAUGGCUUUAUCUGAUUUGGUAUCGUCAUACCAACACUUGCAAGUCAUAAUUCUGAGCCAUAAAAUAUCAUGUUACAGUCUUUUCAUUCAAAACAUAAAGUUUGGACCACCAUAUCAUUCAAAUAGUUCAAGAGAAUUCAUAUUUCAAUCAUAUGUAAAAAUUAUGCACGGCUCUCUCUUUUAGACAAUUCAAUAAACAUGUCAUGGUCAAGUAUUUUAUAAAAACCUAUGCAAUCUCUUUGAAUCAUCACUUUUCAUUUAUAUUAGCAAGAAUCACCCUCUCUUUUCAAUUCAAAACCAUGAUCAAGUCAUAAGCAAUAAUCAAGACCUUUGUAUCAUGCUUCUCAAAAAUGCAUUUUGAAGCAAUCCAUAUCGUAUGAAAAUAAUAGGAAAUCAUAGAAAGAGAGGGAUUCUAUAUUUUCAUGCUCUCAAUUAAAUCUUCAAACUCAAUUUCAUACAUAUAUAUAUAUACAAGUACAAAUCAAUUUGAGAAAAAAGCCUCAAGACCAAACAAUAAUAUCACUAGAUAAUUCAUAAAGCAAGAUUGUAAACAUAAUUCCAAAACCCAUUGCAAAUUCAUGAUUUCUCAAUAUUCAAAGCAUCAUUAAAAAUAUUUUCACCAUGCCCAUGUAGUUUAGGAAAACCCCACGUACCUUAGAUUAUAGAAUUUGAAAGGUGAAACCCUGAUCCUGAUCCGUUUCUUGGAAUUCUUGAUCUUAGGGAUGAGUUCUUGAUCUUUAGAAGAGAAGGAAACUUGAAUCUUGUUCUUGCAGUUCUUGAGAGAAAGGGCGAAUGAUUUCAAUUUGGGGAAAUGAAUUUGGGGCUAAAAAUGUUGUUUUAGGACUGAUAUUAUGUGGUUUGGACGAUUUGGGUCGAGGAGAAAAGACUUAAAUACCCCUAGGAAAACCAAAAAAAAGUUGUAACAGUCCCUCAGUUGACAGACUAACAUGCUGAAGUAAAUUGGGUAUAACUUUUUACUCCGAUAUUGGAUUUGGACGAAAUCAGUUGCGUUGGAAAGAGAACUCAAAGAUAUUUCAUUUAAUAUAUAGCAGGUUAUCCAUUUCCUUAUAUAACAGAAGUUAUGAUCGACGAAAUUUGACUCAUGUUGAACUAUCCUCUAAAACUUAAUCGAUGGAAUUGUUUUCAACUCGUCUUAGAGUUAGGGGAUUCUUGUGACCUCAAUUCAUAUUCAAAGGUUUUCCCAGACUAGGAGUGAUCACUACACAUACAUUAACAAGUAAUAAUUUAGUUAGGGUCUCUACGCAUAGGAACGAUGGUCUAAAUUCUAGCCUGAAAGUACGGGGUGUUACAUUAUCCCCCACUUGGGAUCAUUCGUCCCUGAAUAAUGGGCAAGGACUUUUGAAGCUCUAAAAGUAUAGAAUAAAGAACGUAACAUCGCAUUGAACAUUUUUCCUCAACAAAAUAUGCGAAGGCAGUCAACGAGAUUCAUGACAACCGCUAGGGAAACGUGUAAGCACGAAACAUAAGAUAACGAAACUUGAUGUCAACAUGAUCUUGGCAUGUGUUUUAUUAUAGCACAUGAUCAAAACAUUGUAAGACUUGAAUGUUUAUAAGAAUCCUCGUCCUGGUUAAGAUUGGUACGAGACAUGAGAUGUGAUUCUCGCGUCUUCUUUCGAUUUCUCAUACUAAUUAUGUAUUCUAAAUCUUCAGCUAUCCUAGAAAGCCAAUUUUUUUUUAGAAGAAAGCAUGACGUAUGCCAUGGAGAAUCCAAUAAUCAAUCCACAACCAUAUCCUAUCAGAACCACUUCCCAACACAGCUCACUUAGAAAUGUAGAAUCACCUUCUUUAUUCGGCAUAAAAGUUGUGUUGUUUUUCUCCAGUAUCAAGUUACUUCCACAACCUCCCAAAAUUAGAAAUCCACGCAAUCCAUCAUUGCCUUCAUAUGCAUUGUUCCCAAAUGUAGCAAAUUGAGGCCGUUUUGGAAUGCAUCUUUCAAGAUGAUUGCGGAAGAGAUUUAAAACUGCAAGAGAUGUAAGAGAGGCAAGUUGUUUGGAGAUUACCAGAAAGACUAUUGUGUUGCAUAUCCAAAACCUCGAGUUAGUCACUCAUGUUACCCAAACAUUGUGGAAUUGCUUCCUUCAAGUUGGUUCUUGCCAAGUCUAGAACUUUUAAUGAUUUCAAAUUUCAUAUAGAAAAAGGGAUCUCCACAGUGAGACUAUUAUUUAAUAUGAAAAGAAAAAAAAACAUUCUACGAAGGGUGGUGGAAUUGGUAGUUUCCCUCAAAGAAAAUUGGACAGUAAAUCAAUAGAAGAUGAAUCAGGUCAAUACUUGUCAACAUGUUGUGGGAUAGAUUAAGAUUUGACAUGGAAGACAUCCAAUUUAACAAUAGCCAAUCAGGAAUUCUUCCUUGAAUCUUGUUAUUUUGAAGGAUCCAAAGUUUGUAGCUGCUUUGCUGAUCUAAAAAAAAAAUCCAGUUCGUUUACUUCACAGCCAGACAAAUAUAAGUAUUUAAGAGAUAGAGGCACAGUAGACUUGACUUUGUUUUCAUUAGUCAGAGAAAUACUAUUAUAUGAAAGAUCAAGAUAUGUUGGAUUGACAACAUUUUCGAAAUGACUUGGGAAGAGGACCUUGCAACGGAUUCAGUGCUAAAUUAAUUGAGACUACGCUCUCGAGGUUCUGGAUUGAUUUGGGGAGAAGUCCUUGUAAUUGAUUCUCGCUUGUAUCAAUAAUGACUAGUAUUGAAUUGUACCUGAAAUCCUUAAGUUGACCGAAAAAAUGGUUAUUACUCAAGUCUAGAUAACUCAGUGAUGGCAAGGAGAAUAUCCAGGACGAUAUUGCACCCUUCAGGGAGUUAUUUGAGAGCUUAACUGUGCUCAGAUUCUGCAGUCCACCCGUAAACUAAGGGAAUAUUGGUCCUUCAAUAUGGUUAUCUUGAAGGUCCAUAUACUUCAGACGAAUGAUAUUCCAGAGAGAAUUUCGGAAUUGGCCCCAAUAUAUUACAUGAAAUGAGUACCAAUCUCUGCAACGAAGUUAAAUAGCCAACAGAUUCAGGCAGGUAAUUACCAAAAAAAUUUACUCCUAUGAGAUCCAACUCCUUGAGAGAUGCACUGCUAUUCCAUUUGGUCUUUGAAAAAUAACCAUUGAGCUGAUCAUUGCAACUUAAGUUGAGUGUUUCCAGGUUGGGCGGGUUAAAGAUACUCUCACGUACUAUCUCAUACAAUCUUGUACCCCUUAGACCUAUAGUUGUUAAAUGAGAAGAGAAAUUCAGAGGAAUGGUGGAAGAGAUGUUCACAUCGCUAAGAUGAAGCGCUCUUAAUUGGGUCAAAUUCUAAAGGAGCAUCUUGAAAUCGUAAGCUGCAAGUUCGAGCUCACUAUUGUCUGAUAACUUGGAGAGGAGAGAUAAUUCAGAAGGAAUUUGACCUGACAAAUUGGAAUUAGAAAGAUUAAGAUGUGUCAAGCUCGAGAACCAUGCCGAAUUAAUGGGAGAUGUGAGAACCAUAGAAGUCAUUCAUAGAAAGAUUGAGCCUUUGGAGAUGAGACAGUUGGAAGAAGCUGCUAUUGGAACCAAUCUCCCCCAACAAGUUGGCUACAACUAAGAUCAAGCUCAAAGACAUCGCCACUCAUUUCAUCAUAUAUCACCCCCUCCCACGAGAAACAAUCUUUGUUCAUGUUCCAUGAACUUUUUUUUUGGAUAAGACUGUUCAUCACAAAGAAAAGAUACAGAUGAGGCAUCAACAACAAACGACUAGUUGAAUCAUGGUUCUCCUCCGUAACUUGCCACACUGAGAAUAUUCGGGAACUACUCUAAUUCACCAUCUCCCCCUUAGAUCAUAGUCAUAUUCCUAGACUUACGGACAUACCCCCUUAUCAAAUCUAUAGCCACAACUCUCAACAUAAUAAAAAACGUCACCACCUACUUAAACUCUAAACUCUCCCUAAAGAACUAUACUAUGAAUGCCUUGUUUUUCUGUAAAUGCUACUCUUAACUUCCGCUAGCCUCUAUAGCCAUCACUCUACAACCCCCACUUUCUUGAGCGCACGCAUCCACACUCCUAUCACAAAAGGGGGUAUCAAUAUAUACACGAACACAAACUCCUCUCAUUAGUCUCUAAUACCAAGUCACUAAUUUAUUUUCUAGGGCAUCCCCUUUCAAGGAUACUAAUCGUAAUCUCUUCUAACUCCCAAAGUCAUCAACUCCCACACUUCUAAAUACUUAACACUCCAUCUUCAAUUCCUUAGAAUACUAUCAUUACACCUCUAAUCACAUAACCUACAACUUAACAAAAUCUGUAAGACUAUACCAUGGGCGCACAUUGCCUACCUUUUUUUUUCAAUCCAACUCUACCAAACACCGUACAACCACUCACUAGAUUUUCCACACUACAAGAUUCGAGAAUGAAAUCUGGGUACACAAAACACUUAUACAUAUAGAACUUUAUGUAACAACCUGCUACCUAAGUUCAACUUAUUCAUAUAUACUCGCGCUCUUAUCCACAUUAAUAAUUCAACCACAAUUCAGCAUUUUAACACUAGUUCUCAUGUACACAUAUACUCUAUGAUUUCCACUUAAACUUUUCAUAAAUUAUCAACCUAGGCCAUUUCACACAUCACAUCAAGCCUGGUAAUUGAUUCCAACAAAACAUGCAUCAUUACUCUUACCACCACACUUCACACUCAAGUUCAAUCCUAUAGUUUAACGCCAAUCAUGUACCACCAACGAAGCAUGCCACAUACUAUACUAAUCUAUCAAAUCAGGAAAUCAACCCAAAAUACUUCACUUAGCUACUACCUACAAUCACAACCCUACCACAACCUCAUUUUUACAACUCAAAAAAAAUCUACUACAUACCUUCUCACAUAGAGUACUAUUUUAUCACUGCUAAAGAAAACACCAUCAAAGUGGUAAAGUCACAUAAUUGGAUUAGUCGAUCUUAAUCCUGUAAUAUAACCCAUUUCAAUUUUUAUCAACAUAUUCUAAUUUCGCACAUUAUACAUACUUACCUAAUCGCACAUCACAAUGAUCUUCAAAACUCGAUAAACACUAAUGAGUCUCUACUUACAACUUAUUAACUAAUCUACCCCUUUAUAUUCACAUCCUAUAAAUGAUUUCUACAACCACCAUAACCAUUCAUUCUGUGAUCCUUUCCUAUUCUGAAUAAAUAAUAAUCAUAGCAUGUAUCUUCCUCCACAGACUACCAUACGAUCUACAAAUGUUGUUGCACAUUAGUCUAUCAUUAUACCACAUUAGUCUAUCACUAUACAAUGACAACCCACUCCUCAAUCCACGAUUAUACAACUAAUAUUAUUUAUUUAUGCAAAUGUCACCCUCACUCUGACUGCUAAUCUUGUGACUUUAUGUCACCAACUUCUAGACCAUCUCACUACCAAUAGGUCAUGAUACUUUAAAAUGCACUACUACUCGAGUUGAAAUACAGUUCCAAUAUUAUGCUACACAUCAUUAUACUUAAACAUCACAUUCUCAACAAGAAAUCUUUUUUUUAAAGGAGACUGAAUACACUUCGUACCUCAGGCUAGAAAGCACAAUUUCAUCAAGAUAAAAGUAUAUUCACGAAUCAAUUCACCUUGAAUCACUACUAGAAUCCUCUCAAGUCCUUGUGUUUUCCCAUAACUUUUCUGGAUAACUCAAUUAGAGAGAACCACAUAGCUGGGGGAGCUAGUCUCUUAGACUUGUAUCGCCUCGACAAUGAGGCAUGACACAUGAAAUUAGAACAAGGAAUGAAUUUAGAUAACUUUCUUAUGGAUAACUCUAAAUCACGAAUUAGAGUAUGAAAGAAUAAGAAACAACUCCUAAAUACCCGGUAGCCUCCUGAUCAUAAGUGUGGUGCACAACACACCAUAAACAAGACUCUACUGGACACGAUUUCGCAGACACCCUGGGACUAUGAACUGUGCUCUGAUACUAAGUUUGUCACGACCCGAGCCGGGGUCCAAGCCGUGAUGGGCAUCCCGAACCGUGAAGGCCCGAACGCCCUUCUCUAUCUGGCAAUCAUACACGCGUUCAUAUAAUAUGAAGGAAAAUACGAAAAUAUAAAACAAUACGAAAUCAUGAUCACUAUCAUAAUUUAAUUGAACAAUCUGUAAUGGAAACCACAAACCUCGAAACAACUUCUAAACAUCAGUCUGCGAAAUCUCUAACAACUGAAAAUGACAUUUGUUUGAAAUCUGGGACAAGGCCCCCAGUCGGGCCAUGAAUCAAAAUGGAACAACAAUAACAAGCUCUAAUACUGGCCUUUCAAAUUAAGGGAGGCUCACCAGCUGCAAACUUCUGACACACACGAAUCUACUGUUGUAUGGGACUACGGGACUCUGCCUCGAAUCCUGAGAGGGAGGGGGUCAAUACAGAUGUACUGGUACGUAGAGCAAUCCAAAAU
rnacentral:lncRNA from 1 species